rnacentral:pre_miRNA from 1 species
UCUAGAACUCGAGAUAUGGGCUGAACACUGAAUUGUGUCUGGGCUGCAGGAUAGAUUCGGACUUCUUCGUUGUUGCUAUAAUUUGGACUUGAAAACGGCCUUGUUAAAUCUUGGACUCCUCAUGAAAGUUGUAGGUUUAUGUCUUACCUUUCCAUC